rnacentral:rRNA from 1 species
CAAUAGCGUAUAUUAAAGUUGUUGCAGUUAAAAAGCUCGUAGUUGAAUUUCUGUCAGGAGUGACCGGGCCUUUGGAUGAACUUCCAUUGCUUUUUGCUCUGUUUGUCAUCUCUAGACAUCCUGAAAUAUUUUUUAAAAAUAUUUCUCUUUUACUGUUAGCAAAAUAGAGUGUUCCAAGCAAAGCGUAGUUUUGAAUACAUUAGAAUGGAAUAAUAAGAUAGGACUUUGGUGCUAUUUUGUUGGUUUGCACACCAAGGUAAUGAUUAAUAGGGACAGUUGGGGGUAUUCGUAUUUAAUUGUCAGAGGUGAGAUUCUUGGAUUUAUGAAAGACGAACUACUGCGAAAGCAUUUACCAAGGAUGUUUUCAUUAA